GAGUUUGAUCCUGGCUCAGGACGAACGCUGGCGGCGUGCCUAACACAUGCAAGUCGAACGGACUGGUGUCCUUCGGGACACCAGUUAGUGGCGAACGGGUGAGUAACGCGUGGGUAACCUGCCCUUAUAUCGGGGACAGCUGACCGAAAGGUGAGCUAAUACCGGAUAAACUGUUGCGAUCGCAUGAUUGUGACAGGAAAGGCGGCCUCUAUUUAUAAGCUGCCGUAAAAGGAUGGACCCGCGUCUGAUUAGCUGGUUGGUGAGGUAACGGCUCACCAAGGCGACGAUCAGUAGCCGGCCUGAGAGGGUGAACGGCCACACUGGGACUGAGACACGGCCCAGACUCCUACGGGAGGCAGCAGUGGGGAAUCUUCCGCAAUGGACGAAAGUCUGACGGAGCAACGCCGCGUGAGUGAAGAAGGUUUUCGGAUUGUAAAACUCUGUCUUUUGGGAAGAACGGCAGAUAUAUGAAUAGUAUAUGUGAUUGACGGUACCAAAGGAGGAAGCCCCGGCUAACUACGUGCCAGCAGCCGCGGUAAUACGUAGGGGGCAAGCGUUGUCCGGAAUUAUUGGGCGUAAAGAGCGCGCAGGCGGCUAUUUAAGUCUACCGUGAAAGCUUACGGCUCAACCGUAACGGGUCGGUGGAUACUGGAUGGCUUGAGGGCAGGAGAGGAAAGUGGAAUUCCCAGUGUAGCGGUGAAAUGCGUAGAGAUUGGGAGGAACACCAGUGGCGAAGGCGACUUUCUGGACUGUUACUGACGCUGAGGCGCGAAAGCUGGGGGAGUGAACGGGAUUAGAUACCCCGGUAAUCCCAGCCGUAAACGAUGGGUACUAGGUGUAGGAGGUAUCGACCCCUUCUGUGCCGGAGUUAACGCAAUAAGUACCCCGCCUGGGGAGUACGGUCGCAAGACUGAAACUCAAAGGAAUUGACGG
rnacentral:rRNA from 1 species